rnacentral:misc_RNA from 1 species
UUGUGGAGGAGGACGCCGAAGGUGGGGCUAAUGACUGGGGUGAAGUCGUAACAAGGUAGCCCGUACCGGAAGGUGCGGCUGGAUCACCUCCUAACAGGGAGACAACAAAAAUGUAAAUAUUAAUUUUGUCACCUUAGGUCGAUCGGUAUCUCAGAUUCUUAUUUUAAGAAUUUCAGUUUCUAAGUUUUUUCUAGGUCACACCCAUCACUUUUUCCUGGGCCAUUAGCUCAGGUGGUUAGAGCGCACCCCUGAUAAGGGUGAGGUCCCUGGUUCAAGUCCAGGAUGGCCCAUAUCUCUAUGUUGGGGGUAUAGCUUAGUUGGUAGAGCGCCUGCUUUGCAAGCAGGAUGUCAGCGGUUCGAGUCCGCUUACCUCCACUGAAUACCACCUCUUACAUAUUAGAAAAGAGGGAAAUUGUUUUUAAGUUGUGUCCUAAUUUGCUCUGAGCGAAUCUAGCUUCCUAUUUUAUUUAAAUAAUAAGAUGCUGGACUCAUUGAAUUUUAUUCAUUGUUUUUCAGAGAACCUUGACAACUGCAUAGAUUAUUUUUGAAGACAAUAAGCAUCUUUAAUGAUGCAGAUUUAUUAUUUGUGCGAAUGCAUUAAAUAACAAUUCUAUUAAGCUGAUGCUUCAAUUAAUUGAAGUUAUUGGUCAAGCUACAA